rnacentral:rRNA from 1 species
UACAGAGGUCUCAAGCGUUGUUCGGAUUCAUUGGGCGUAAAGGGCGCGUAGGCGGUCGUGACAAGUCACUUGUGAAAUCUCCGGGCUUAACUCGGAACGGUCAAGUGAUACUGUCGGACUAGAGUACAGAAGGGGCAACUGGAAUUCUCGGUGUAGCGGUGAAAUGCGUAGAUAUCGACUUGGAACGCCAAAGGUGAAGACAGGUUGCUGGAGAUAUGCCCGACACUGAGACGCGAAAGCCAGGGAGCAAACGGG